CGGGUUUUUUAGUAACCUGGUAGUAACCCUGCCUGAGCACUAUGUGCCAGUUCACAAGGCCACUCACUCAAUUUUGUUCGACCCCCACAUCAUGACAGAGAGGCCAUACCUGAAUGGACAGCGGGUUGGCCAGCACUGCUGCUCCUCACCACUGCCACAGGGCUGGCUCCUGCAGCAGGCUGGCUCCUGCUCCUGUCCGGCCUCACCCCACUUCCAGCAGCCCAUGUCCCCUCUGCUUUGCCUGCAGGACUCACGCAGCAACAGCCUCAAGACCUGCAAGAAGUAUGGGGAGCUAGGGCGGGAGUUUUGUCGGUGAAGAAGCUUUAGGCUGGAAUCCCUGCUUACCACAUGAAAAAUUUCUGGGGGCACCCCCCGUUGUACAUUUUACUUUGCUCUUUGAUGCCGACUCCUAAGCUGCUCCAUAUUUGAGUCUGCUGAUGGCAGCAGCCUGCUAACUAGCAAACUGGUCUGAGAGGACAGGAUCAGCUGCAGUACCUACAGUUUCCUGGAUCUGCCCUCUGAUCAUGCAGUGCGUGCAUCUCCUGGUUUGAUGGAGACUAGAACAUUAACUCAUCUCUCAAGAGAGGUUUCCACCACUGAAAUCAAGGGAGGCAAGUUACACGUGUAUUACGAAUGUAUGUAUUUGUGCAUACGAUUUUCAAAUUUUGUGUCUGUCACAUGAGACCUGAUCAUCUGUCUUGCCUAGAGUGGAUGACUAACAAGCUUGAUUCCUCUACAAGAUUAAAAAACCCUAUCUCAUGCUGAAACAUCCUGCCACCUGCCCUAAUCAGCGCAGGACUUUUGAAUAAUAAAUAAGAACAGAACAUUCCUCAGAAUUCCUGCUGAACUAUUUCUAUUCAGGUCCUAGAUAUUGCAGAUCCAGAAGAUUAGUGUUGAACAUACCUUCCAGAUGCUCGACAUCUAGCACACAGUGGGCUUGAUCCAAACCACAUUGAAGUCAAUGGGAAACUUUCAAUUGACUUCAGUGGAGAGUGGAUCAAGUCCAUUAGGAGCAGUCCCAGUACUCAGAUGGGCCAGUCCUAACAGAAAGAGGCCAUACGGACUAAGGAAGUUUAAAUCCAGAUGCUUAUUAUCUAUUCACUGCACCUGAACAUCAUUUGUACACAAGAACAAAACAAAUGCAAGAAGCCCCUGGGAACUCAAACCAAUGUUGAUGGACACUAGUUCUAUGACCAGUGGGCAUCAGACCACACCAGCCCUCACUGCUGAUGAGCUCCAGAUCAAGACUGGAUCACCGAGAAUUCUGCAAACCUUGUGUUGGCCCACGUUGUCUCUCACUGCCCCCCUGCCCAAGGUUAUUCAACACACCACAAGGCAGGUGUGGACCGGAGCAUUCAUAUUGUCAUUCCAACUCAGUGUGGAAGUGGCACCCCAGGAAAUAACAAAUCCUUCAAACUACUCCAUUUUACACAUGAAACCAGAGCCAGCACUAAAGCCAAUGUGGGCUUUCUACUCAUUUAUAGAGGCAGAAGACGGCAGUUUCACAAAGGAGCUGUUUGAGAUGCUAUCAGCAAUAGCGGUGAUAUCCCUAAGAUUCCUCUUUCCAGCCAUGUUGACAAGGCCUCGGAUGUAAAACGCCCAAACACAUUUCCUCUUUCUCCAUGUUAGGACUCUUUCGUGUUAUCUCUGGUCCAUCCCACACAGCCAGCCACAUCUUCAGCCUGCUCUUCACACUAAAUGUCAUCACAGAGAAUAUAACACGGUAUGGCCCUAUCUUAGACAACCUCCUCAUUCUGUCAGCAGUCUGAGCUUUUCCCCCAUUCAGGCAACAGGAAGGCUCAUGGACCUCAAUAUGCUUCAGGAAAGCAAAAGCCUCCCAACAGGCUGAGGAGUUGCAUCGCUAAUAAGUCAUUUUGUCCACAUGCACUAGUUACUACCACUGACACCCUAGAUCUCAGAUAGCCCCCUCCUCGCUGUUGCCCACACAAAUCCCAGUGGUCCUUCCUUGAAGAGAGAAGGAAACUUGAGUGCCAAUGACAAAAAACUUGGGUUGAAGCAUACAGAUUAAAACAGGAAGAAUUUCUACAGGCCUCUGGUGAGGCUGUAGGAUACUUCAAUCAUGGCAGAAUCCAGCGCCACUUGAUACGAGAAGAUUUAAGCCUUCUUCACUGGAAGAGGCCACCCAUAUACAGGAAAGGGGCUCCAGAUAAUCUCUUCAAGGCUGGAGGCAGAAAAGGGCAUGAUACAUCCUGCUCCCACCUACCAUUUCCCUCCCUAACCAGGCCCAGCUACUCUCUGACCCAGGCCACCUACAGCUGCUAUACAGAACCCAGUCCUGCAGACCAUGGAGUCACAAGAAGGGAUGACAUUCCAGUGAAGAUGACUCUCCACUUCUGCAUGGAUCCUGGAGCAUGUUCUGGCUCUUGAUCCUAUGGUACUUACUCAGGCAAUUGAGAGUCAAUGGCAGCUUUGCCAAAUUAAGGUGUGAAGUAGGGCCAAACCUCUCAUAACCUUUUUGUUUUUGUUUGGUUUUUUAAAGACCCUGUUUUGUGUUUGCAAGGGUACCUGACCGUAACAUUUACAACAAGGGGGCAAGAGAAAUGAAAUGUGAAAAGAGAAAUCUCUGCCAAACUUCUGCAGAUUGUAGAGUAAUAUCACUGCUGACAGGGAGGGAAAAAAUCUAUCAAGAAGCCAUGCAGACAUUCACCAGAAGACCAUCCAUUGCCAGAUGUUCCAGCGUGGGUGUAAUAAAGAACUUUAACAUUAGCAUGAGUAUAGAAGAGUGACUAGAAAAAAUUAACACAGUCAAGAAAGUCUUCUCUGGAAUAUACUUGCAACUAUUACAGAAUAAGAUCAGAACCAAAGGCUCUCUACAAGCUUCUGCAAAAAGUUUGCUUAGAAACAAGGGAAACAACAAACUAAAGAGCUCUGGUGGGCUACACUCACUCUGGGAGCGCCCCCUUGGGUCCCUGUGUGAUGUCACUGGUAUCUUCUGCUCGAGCACUUCCUGCAGGCCACUUCCCUUUGGUUCCAGGUCUUCUGUGGCUCAGUCCUCCAGCCAAGUUGUGUGAAGUUCAAAGCCCUUCUGAAGUAACUACAAGCCCCUAGUCCCUCUUGGGCUCCACCAAAGUUCAUUGGCCUCUUCUCCUGGUGCCUGCAGAGCUCUUCUCACCUUAAUACCUCUCCAGCAGGCUUCCCCUACUGCCGCCCUUCUCCAGGGAUUCUGACAGCUCUCCUUAGGUAUCUUCCUGCUGCAAAACUUCUCUUAUAACUACUAGCUCUUCUGCCACUGCUGGGCUUCUCUUCUAUUCCCUUAUCCGCAUAGGUCCUAUCUCAGAGCUCCCGCACAGGAUUGUACUCUGCUUUCUAUGGGCACAUCUACACUGCAAUUAAAAACCUGCUGCUGGCCCAUGCCAGUUGACUCCGGCUCAUGGGGCUCGGCCUAAGGGUCUGUUUAAUUGUAGGGUGACAUUCAGGCUCAUGCUGCAGCCUAGGUCUAGAACCCUGCAAGGUGGGAGUCCCAGAGUUUGAGCUGCAACCUGAGUAUCUACACCUCAGUUAAACAGCCCUUUAGCCCGAGCCCAAGUCUGCCAGCAAUGGGUGUCUACUUUCAGUAUAGACACACUCUAUGAGACUCUCAGCCUGCCUUCCUCAGGCUCUUCCCAGAGGAGAAGUCCGCUCAUUCCUCCCUCUAGUGAGUUCCUAGCUCUGUGUAAGUAGUUCUGUCCCUGCUUUACCACCACAGCAGGGGUCAGUUUCUAAUACACCCAGCUGGGAUCACUAAUUAGUCCAUCUGUAGGCAGCUCCAUGGGCAGCACCUUCUGCCUGAAGCCCCGCCUCUUCCACCCCCCCCCAGAUCCCAGAGCCCCCCAACCGCGGCCACCAGCCCCCGCCCCAGGCUAGCCCACCCACAACCUCAGAAUGCAGGGAGGGAGGGCAGCACUGGUGCUGCCCCAGCCCCUGGAGCUGGGCAGAAGAGCGGAAGCAGGGGCCUGGGGGUGGCACCACGCCUGGUUGUUUGGGGAGGCACAGCCUCCCCCAGCCUAUGCUACCUACCGCCCAUGGGCAGCUCCUCAGUGAGACUUGAGGGAUAGCUGCUAAGUCAUGGGCAAGGUUGAGCCCAGCUUGCAUCAAAGGGCCAGCCAGCCCAUGACAGGAGCCUUGUGCUGAAUUCUGUUUUAUGCAGCAUUCAUGGCCCCUUGACCUGUUCAUGACUUGUACUAUAUAGUCCUGACUAAAUCUUGGGUGUUCUGGGGGGCUCCAGGAGAGCAAGUGCUGCUCUGGAGGAGGAGCUCUGGGGCCCCCGCUGGCGCUGGGGGGGGACUCCAGGACACCUGCUGGUACUGGGAGGGGGUCUCUGGGGCACCCACUGGUGCUGGGGGAGGAGCUCCAGGGCACCUAUUGGUGCUCAGUGGGGAGGGGCGUGCAGCCCGGCACCGCUGCAGCCACUGCUGGUGGGGAGCAGCCCAAGACCACCGCCGGCGCUGCUGGUGGUGGGAGGUGGCCCCGCCAGCCUGGGACUGCCACCGCUGCUGGGGUGGUGGUGGGGGUGGUGUGGCUGGCCCCAGGGUUGCCCGAGCUGCUCGGGCAGCCCUGGGGUCAGUAGCACCUGCCGGCUGCAGAAGUCAUGGAGUUCCCAGAAAGUCACUGAAUCUGUGACCUCCGUGACAGACUCACAGCCUUAUUUAUAGCAUUACUUUAUUAGUUCAUUUGUUCAUUCUCCUCACAUUUAAAGGAGGGUACUCCCUUGAGUUUUGUAUCAGGCUAGUGGUCAUUUAUGACCUAUGUGCCUUUUUCACUGAUAAGUGAUAAAUAUAUGUUUGUAAAUCUCUCUUACCUAAUGCUAGUGAAUAUUAAUCUUCCUAGCCCUAAAAUAAAGCCAAGAGAUUGAAAUUAGGGAGAAAGACCCUUUUUAUCAAAAUACAUUGACCAGUUUAAUAAAGAUUACAGAGGGGUCGAAGCUACAAAUGUUCAGAUCAGGGUCCAAAUUUCCCCCAAGUUUUGUGAGAGGGCAGGGUUUGGAUUCAGGGGCUGAUUCAGUUUCCUCAAUGAUGAUAAUAAUAAUUACAGUGGCUUGCUUCAUCCAUCCUGUUCCACACCUGGGUACAGACCUUCCUUCUCUCCCCUGGCCCUCCAACUUCCCAUGCAGGAGAGGAAGACCAGCUGCCUCCAGGGCACUGUCUGCCUCUUCCCAUCACCAAGGGCUCUCUGUGAGCUUGGUGUCCACACAGGUGGAAAAAGCUGAGAUUGGGUGGGCUAGGGCAGUGGCUCUCAACCUUUCCAGACUACUGUACCCCUUUCAGGAGUCUGAUUCGACUUGCGUACCCCCAAGUUUCUCCUCACUUAAAAACUACUCGCUUACCAAAUCAGACACAAAAAUAAAGAAGUGUCACAGCCCACUAGUACUG